rnacentral:lncRNA from 1 species
CCGUCUUUAAAAUCUUUAUCAGAAAAAUCCAAAAGGUCAUCAACUUUAAAAUCAUUAUUUGCUCCAUUAUUAAUCCCUGUUACACACCAUAGAUCAUCAAUAAAAACUUGUUGGGUACUUUUCAUAGCCAUAUCUGAAAGAAGACUAGGUUUCAAUGCUCUUUCUUCAAUCAACUUCAUGAGAAAAAAUAAGCACAAAAUUGAAAACUAGGACAAAAG